GAUGAAGAACGUAGCGAAAUGCGAUACUUGGUGUGAAUUGCAGAAUCCCGUGAACCAUCGAGUCUUUGAACGCAAGUUGCGCCUCAAGCCAUUAGGUUGAGGGCACGUCUGCCUGGGCGUCACAUAUCGUUGCCUGAUGCCAGUUUCCUCGUGAUGGGUGACUGUGCAGGGCGAAUGAUGGCUUCCCGUGAGCAUUGUUGCCUCAUGGUUGGUUGAAAAUUGAGUCCUUGGUAGGGAGCGCCGUGAUAGAUGGUGGUUGAGUGACGAACGAGACCCAAUCAUGUGAGACCCCUACCGAAUUUGGCCUUCAUGACCCACAUGCGUCUUUGGAACGCUCAUGACGAGACCUCAGGUCAGGCGGGGCUACCCGCUGAGUUUAUGCAUAUCAAUAAGCGGAGGA
rnacentral:misc_RNA from 1 species